UACAGAGGGGGCAAGCGUUGUUCGGAAUUACUGGGCGUAAAGGGCGCGUAGGCGGCCUGCUAAGUCGAACGUGAAAUCCCCGGGCUCAACCCGGGAACUGCGUCCGAUACUGGCAGGCUUGAAUUCGGGAGAGGGAUGCGGAAUUCCAGGUGGAGCGGUGAAAUGUGUUGAUAUCGGUGGGAACGCCAGUGGCGAAAGCGACGGACUGGACCUUUACUGACGCUGAGGCGCGAAAGCUAGGGGAGCAAACGGG
rnacentral:rRNA from 1 species